rnacentral:misc_RNA from 1 species
CGGAAAUCAUAGAGAGUGAAUGUAGAUAUUGAUUGUACAUUUUCAUAUUUAGUGUAAAUUUAUUCUAUAAAUUCCCAUCAGCUUGAGGGAAUAACCAAGCUUUCAUUCCCCAAAUUCCCAAUUCUCUUCUUAUUUCUCUCAUUUCCUUUUCUUCACCAUCUAUAUUAAUAUUAGCUGGACUUGAUCAACUAAUUGGAGUUUUGAUUACUUUUAGGCAUACUUAAGUGAUGAAGAG